UGGGGAAUAUUGGACAAUGGGCGCAAGCCUGAUCCAGCCAUGCCGCGUGAGUGAUGAAGGCCCUAGGGUUGUAAAGCUCUUUCGCCAGGGACGAUAAUGACGGUACCUGGAUAAGAAGCCCCGGCUAACUUCGUGCCAGCAGCCGCGGUAAUACGAAGGGGGCUAGCGUUGUUCGGAAUCACUGGGCGUAAAGCGCACGUAGGCGGAUCUUUAAGUCAGGGGUGAAAUCCCGAGGCUCAACCUCGGAACUGCCUUUGAUACUGGAGGUCUCGAGUUCGGGAGAGGUGAGUGGAACUGCGAGUGUAGAGGUGAAAUUCGUAGAUAUUCGCAAGAACACCAGUGGCGAAGGCGGCUCACUGGCCCGAUACUGACGCUGAGGUGCGAAAGCGUGGGGAGCAAACAGGCUUAGAUACCCUGGUAGUCCACGCCGUAAACGAUGGAUGCUAGCCGUUGGGGAGCUUGCUCUUCAGUGGCGCAGCUAACGU
rnacentral:rRNA from 1 species